rnacentral:rRNA from 1 species
GAUGAACGCUAGCGGGAGGCCUAACACAUGCAAGCCGAGCGGUAUUGUUUCUUCGGAAAUGAGAGAGCGGCGUACGGGUGCGUAACACGUGUGCAACCUGCCUUUAUCUGGGGGAUAGCCUUUCGAAAGGAAGAUUAAUACUCCAUAAUAUAUUGAACGGCAUCGUUUAAUAUUGAAAGCUCCGGCGGAUAGAGAUGGGCACGCGCAAGAUUAGCUAGUUGGUGAGGUACCGGCUCACCAAGGCGAUGAUCUUUAGGGGGCCUGAGAGGGUGAUCCCCCACACUGGUACUGAGACACGGACCAGACUCCUACGGGAGGCAGCAGUGAGGAAUAUUGGUCAAUGGGUGCAAGCCUGAACCAGCCAUCCCGCGUGAAGGACGACUGCCCUAUGGGUUGUAAACUUCUUUUGUAUAGGGAUAAACCUACCCUAGAGAGGGUAGCUGAAGGUACUAUACGAAUAAGCACCGGCUAACUCCGUG